UCAACCCUCAGGCCCGGCCUGGUGUUGGAGGACUGCGCCUGCAGCCUCCCAAAGCGAGCGGCGGCGGCGCCCCUUACCGAACGCAGUAGUUUACUCUCGUUCCGGGACUGGGUCGUUGUCUUGCCGGAAAACCCCCAACUUUUGU
rnacentral:misc_RNA from 1 species